AUUGAACGCUGGCGGCAGGCUUAACACAUGCAAGUCGAACGAGUGGCGGACGGGUGAGUAAUGCUUGGGAAUCUAGCUUAUGGCGGGGGAUAACUCCGGGAAACUGUAGCUAAUACCGCGUACCAUAGGAUGAGCCCAAGUGGGAUUAGGUAGUUGGUGAGGUAAAGGCUAACCAAGACGACGAUCUCUAGCUGGUCUGAGAGGAUGACCAGUCACAAGGGUACUGAGACACGGCCCCGACUCCUACGGUAGUCAGCAGUGGGGAAUAUUGCGCAAUGGGGGCAACCUGACGCAGCAAUGCCGCGUGAAUGAAGAAGGCCUUCGGGUUGUAAAGUUCUUGCGGUAGCGAGGCUUUAACUACAGAAGAAGCACCGGCUAACUCCGUGCCAGCAGCCGCGGUAAUUC
rnacentral:rRNA from 1 species